ensembl:snRNA U4atac minor spliceosomal RNA
ACCAUUCUUUCCCUGGGGUUGCACUACUAUCCAAUGAAUGUCUAGUGAAGGCAGUACUGCUAACACCUAAACAACACAUUCGCAUCAGGUGGGGCUCUGCUUUACCUUGGUGCAAUUUUUGGAAAA